rnacentral:misc_RNA from 1 species
GAUGAAGAACGCAGUGAAAUGCGAUACGUAAUGUGAAUUGCAGAAUUCAGUGAAUCAUCGAGUCUUUGAACGCACAUUGCGCCCCCUGGUAUUCCGGGGGGCAUGCCUGUCCGAGCGUCAUUGCUGCCCUCAAGCACGGCUUGUGUGUUGGGCCUCCGUCCUCCUCCCGGGGGACGGGCCCGAAAGGCAGCGGCGGCACCGCGUCCGGUCCUCGAGCGUACGGGGCUUCGUCACCCGCUCUUGUAGGCCCGGCCGGCGCUUGCCGACACAUCAAUCUUUUUUCCAGGUUGACCUCGGAUCAGGUAGGGAUACCCGCUGAACUUAAGCAUAUCAAUAAGCGGAGGA